rnacentral:rRNA from 1 species
UCGGGGAGGCAGCAGUGGGGUAAUCUUGCACAAUGGGAGGAAACUCUGAUGCAGCGAUGCCGCGUGAGUGAAGAAGGCCCUUGGGUUGUAAAGCUCUUUCGUCGGGGAAGAAAAUGACUGUACCCGAAUAAGAAGGUCCGGCUAACUUCGUGCCAGCAGCCGCGGUAAUACGAAGGGACCUAGCGUAGUUCGGAAUUACUGGGCUUAAAGAGUUCGUAGGUGGUUGAAAAAGUUGGUGGUGAAAUCCCAGAGCUUAACUCUGGAACUGCCAUUAAAACUUUUCAGCUAGAGUAUGAUAGAGGAAAGCAGAAUUUCUAGUGUAGAGGUGAAAUUCGUAGAUAUUANAAAGAAUACCAAUUGCGAAGGCAGCUUUCUGGAUCAUUACUGACACUGAGGAACGAAAGCAUGGGU